GUGAGGAAUAUUGGUCAAUGGGCGGGAGCCUGAACCAGCCAAGUCGCGUGAAGGAAGAAGGAUCUAUGGUUCGUAAACUUCUUUUGCAGGGGAAUAAAGUGCGGGACGUGUCCUGUUUUGUAUGUACCCUGAGAAUAAGGAUCGGCUAACUCCGUGCCAGCAGCCGCGGUAAUACGGAGGAUCCGAGCGUUAUCCGGAUUUAUUGGGUUUAAAGGGUGCGUAGGUGGUUUGAUAAGUCAGCGGUGAAAGUUUGCAGCUUAACUGUAAAAAUGCCGUUGGAACUGUCGGACUUGAGUGUAAAUGAGGUAGGCGGAAUGCGUGGUGUAGCGGUGAAAUGCAUAGAUAUCACGCAGAACUCCGAUUGCGAAGGCAGCUUACUAAGCUACAACUGACACUGAAGCACGAAAGCGUGGGGAUCAAACAGGAUUAGAAACCCGGGUAGUCC
rnacentral:rRNA from 1 species